CCAAAAAUGGUAACUCCUUUAAAGACAUUUGACGUGGUGUCACCUUAAUUUAAUGUGUUUUAUCAUGGAAUUUUAAUAAACCUUCCAGUUAAAAAUUUUUGUAUGUCAAGAAAUUGAGCACAUGAAUUCAUCAAAUUGUGACAAAUAAAGUGCCAGCAGUCGCGGUCAUACUUUAACAACUAUUAAGGACUACAGUUAAUAUAAACAUACUCUAUAUAUUAAUAGUGAAAUAUUAUUAUUACUACACUAAACUGUUUAAUAUUAAUAACUGAACUCAAACAGGGAUUAGAUACCCCUUUAUGCAGUAAGUAAUCAAAUAACUGGGGAUUAAUUCUUUCAAGCCUAAACUUAAUCGUCAUGGCGGUAGUUAAAAACUUUAGGGGAACUUACGAGAUAAUUGAUAACCACCAAGCAAACGUACGGUGGAUAAUAUUUUGCAUACCGUCGUCGUCAGGUAGCCUUUUAAAGACUAUCUCCUCGUAUAUUUACAAAAAGACAGAUCAAGGUGCAGACCACUCCCCCGUUCUCCGCGAGUUACGAUAAAAAUUUACUCCAAUAAUUAAUUAUAAUAUAUAUGUAUUGAAGGACUUAAAAGUAAUAAACACUAUAAAUAAAUUAUGAAUAAUACUUUAACUGUGC
rnacentral:rRNA from 1 species